GGGGGGGCAAGCGUUGUUCGGAAUUACUGGGCGUAAAGGGCUCGUAGGCGGCCAACUAAGUCGGACGUGAAAUCCCUCGGCUCAACCGAGGAACUGCGUCUGAUACUGGAUGGCUUGAGUCCGGGAGAGGGAUGCGGAAUUCCAGGUGUAGCGGUGAAAUGCGUAGAUAUCUGGAGGAACACCGGUGGCGAAGGCGGCAUCCUGGACCGGCACUGACGCUGAGGAGCGAAAGCCAGGGGAGCAAACGGGGAUUAGAUACCCCGGUAGUCCUGGCCCUAAACGAUGAAUGCUUGGCGUGGCGGGUAUCGAUCCCUGCCGUGCCGAAGCUAACGCGAUAAGCAUUCCGCCUGGGGAGUACGGUCGCAAGGCUG
rnacentral:rRNA from 1 species